rnacentral:rRNA from 1 species
AAAGGAAUAGACGGGGGCCCGCACAAGCGGAGGAACAUGUGGUUUAAUUCGAUGAUACGCGAGGAACCUUACCCGGGCUCGAACGGCAGUGGAAUAUAGUGGAGACAUUAUAGUUAGCAAUAACCGCUGUCGAGGUGCUGCAUGGUUGUCGUCAGCUCGUGCCGUGAGGUGUCGGCUUAAGUGCCAUAACGAGCGCAACCCUUACCGUUAGUUACCAUCAGGUCAUGCUGGGGACUCUAACGGGACUGCCACCGUAAGGUGUGAGGAAGGUGGGGAUGACGUCAAAUCAGCACGGCCCUUACGUCCGGGGCUACACACGUGUUACAAUGGGAGGUACAAAGGGCAGCUACUUAGUGAUAGGAUGCUAAUCUCUAAAACCUCUCCCAGUUCGGAUCGGAGUCUGAAACCCGACUCCGUGAAGCUGGAUUCGCUAGUAAUCGCGCAUCAGCCAUGGCGCGGUGAAUACGUUCCCGGGCCUUGUACACACCGCCCGU